GACGAACGCUGGCGGCGUGCUUAACACAUGCAAGUCGAGCGGUAAGGCCCUUUCGGGGGUACACGAGCGGCGAACGGGUGAGUAACACGUGGGUGACCUGCCCUCAGCUCUGGGAUAAGCCUGGGAAACUGGGUCUAAUACCGGAUAUGACUCCAUGACGCAUGUUGUGGGGUGGAAAGCCUUGUGCGGCUGAGGAUGGGCCCGCGGCCUAUCAGCUUGUUGGUGGGGUGANGGCCUACCAAGGCGACGACGGGUAGCCGGCCUGAGAGGGCGACCGGCCACACUGGGACUGAGACACGGCCCAGACUCCUACGGGAGGCAGCAGUGGGGAAUAUUGGACAAUGGGCGCAAGCCUGAUCCAGCGAUGCCGCGUGUGUGAAGAAGGCCUGGC
rnacentral:rRNA from 1 species